CAGCAGCCGCGGUAAAACCAGCACCUGGAGUGGUCAGGAGGUUUAUUGGGCCUAAAGCAUCCGUAGCCGGUUGCAUAAGUUUUCGGUUAAAUCUAUGCGCUCAACGUAUAGGCCGCCGAAAAUACUGUGCAGCUAGGGAGUGGGAGAGGUACACGGUACUCAAUAGGAAGGGGUAAAAUCCUUUGAUCUAUUGAUGACCACCUGUGGCGAAGGCGGUGUACCAGAACACGUUCGACGGUGAGGGAUGAAAGCUGGGGGAGCAAACCGGAUUAGAUACCCGGGUAGUCCCAGCUGUAAACGAUGCAGACUCGGCGAUGCAUUGGCUUGUGGCCAAUGCAGUGCCGCAGGGAAGCCGUUAAGUCUGCCGCCUGGGAAGUACGUACGCAAGUAUGAAACUUAAAGGAAUUGGCGGGGGAGCAC
rnacentral:rRNA from 2 species